CGAUCUGCCUGAUUUGUUGGUAUGCUGUCUAGACGCUAGUUAAUGUCAGUGUGCGUCUUGGAAGAGUGUUGCCAUCGUAUACGCUAAAAGCUGAUUGGCUCCGCCAUCUUUUGCUCAGAUUUCCGGAUUAAUUUGGAAGGGGUAAACAGAUGAUCAGUUGUUUAUUUUUCGUUUACUCUGGUUUAACCUCACUUAACUAGAUAGAUCGAGAAAUAUUAAAUUACUAUUACUAUUAUUCAGGUUGAAAAAUGCCUUCUUCUAAGGUAAAAGGUUGCGAAGUCGAUUGGGGAAAAAUAAUGUGAAAAUGAAUUCUUUCCCAAAAGAAUCUGAACGACGGAAAGUGUGGAUUAAAAAUAUAGGGUUAAAACAAGAUCCAAACAAAUAUGCUGUUGUUUGUGAAGGAGAAAAAAUAUGACUAUGCUCCCUACAAUGAGGCCAGGAAAUGUAUACUUUGGAUAGAGGUAGGUGGGAAAAUCUGUUUUAUUCAGUUAUUGUGAUUUGUUUCUUAGACAAUCGGUUUGUUCUAGCACGAGUUUCAAACGGUCUGAAACCAUUAGCGAAUAGUGGACCAGCGCGAGUAGAGGGGAUAGCACUCGUAACUGUAUUAUGUUCUCUCACUGACCAACUGUUUGCUGACUAGUUCGACUGUUUGCUAGAACAAACCUAUUAUUCAAACAAAAUGUCCUCUACGUCAGACUGAUCAGAAUUUUAAAAAUGUGUCAUAUCAAUCAAAUCAAAAAAUUUAAAAAAUUGUUCCUGUAACCAUUUUUAGUGGAAAUAAUAACAGUACUUAUAUUGGAUCAGAGAGCCACCCAAUUCAUUGUUAAAGUAUGAUAAACUAAAAGUUAAACAAUUAGGCAUGCACUUCAUAUUAUAUUUAAUGAAAUAUAACCCACUGGUACUCAUACAAACUUGACGGCAAGCAAAUUCAACAAAUUUUUCCUCAUUUAUUAGUUUUUCACUACCGUUAAGUUUGGAAACAAGCGCUGUUGCCAAAUAAAAACAUAUACAGUCGGAAAAAUGAAAGAAUACCCAUGAACGAUCACAUCAAUCACAUAUUUUGUAUUUGCUGUUUUUUUUUCAUAAAUAAUAAAUGAGAGAGAUAGAUUAUUAAUAAUCUGAUAAUCUGAAUAAUAUGUGAUUGAUGUGAUCGUUCAUGGGUAUUCUUUCAUUUUUUCGACGGUAUGUAUUUACCACAGCAACUACAGGUGACACUGUUUCUCUUUGUCUUUAAGAGUGUGAAACAAAGAUAACUACAGUGGGAAAAAUAAAGAAUACCCAUGAACGAUCACAUCGAUCACUUAUUUUGUGUUUCCUAUCUUUUUCUAUAACAAACGUUUAUUAUUUAUAGAAAAAGACAACAAACAUAAAUUAAGUGAUUGAUGUGAUCGUUCAUGGGUAUUCUUUCAUUUUUCCAACUGUAUCUGUAAUAUACGCUGAGCUCGUAGGUAGAGGGGAUAAUUAAAAAAUCGCGAGAGCCAAUAGUGACAAGUCUGUAAACCUUUACUGGAAAUUUGAUAUAAAUGUCAAAGUGAAUAAUUUAAAAUUGAAAUUAAAAACAUUAAUUAGAAAAAAUAUUAGUUGGUCAAAGCUGUGGUAUAUAUUUUUAUCUUAAGUAUACUUACGGUUUAAAUACUGAAUUAAGUUUUUUGAAUAUUUUGUAAUAUCUAAUUAUAAUUAGAUAUAAAUCAUCUAAGCGCCAUCUACACGAUAAUUGUGAAUGUAUCUGAAGUAAGAAAUUAAUAUUUCAUUAAGAGAACGUUAAAACAGUUAGCAAAAUUUUUAAAAAAUCGAUUACAAUUUAAUUACUUUUUUGCGUUGUAAAUAUUAAGUGAUAAAAUUAAAUAAUAAAUUUAAAAAUUACUGGUGAAAGUUGAAUUAGUAAUCCGCUAGGAGCGACACCAGCGAAGCUCAGAGCGUAUAAGUGGGUGCAUUUGGAUGACCAUAGCGGCUGACUGUCAGCAGAAAUUGGCUGAGUGGUUGUAUCCAGCUGUGAUAGGGAAAGCUUAGUAAAUCUCUCAGCGGCUGACUUCCAGCGGUGACGUCUGACAGCUACUGCUGGCUCAGCUGUCCAGCCGCUGUGGUCAUCCGAACGCACCCAGUGUCAGUCAUGUUUUCCUAUAGUAUAGAAGGCUUAGAUAGAAGGUUAUGUAAGAUUUUUGUUUGUUUAUUUUUUCUUCUUCUUUUGUGGCCUUUGGAAGCUGUGCCCAUUUAGCCAGCAACAUUUUUUAAAAUUAAUGCCUAACUAAACCUAAAUGCUAAACCUACCAUACAAGAAAACCAUUACGAACCUAAACGACCAAUCAAGGAUACGGAAGGGAAAGUAAAGUUAUUUAAAAAAUAAACCGUUGUUAAAAUAUAAACUAAAUAAAUAAAAUAUAAAUUGAAAACAAUAAUUUGACAUUAUAAAUGUAACCUCCAAUAUUAUGACAGACGUCAGUUACCAUGACAUCAUAUAUUAUACUCGUCACUAAUUCUAGCCAAUGAAAUGCUUGCUGUAAUAGGAAUGGCAUAUCAAAAAAAUCUGACUAUUCUCUAUAUAUUUUUUCAAAUUUAGAAUAUGGCAACAAGGGGAAAGUUAUGUGCAUUCCUCAUUGUUUGACUUUUCCUAUAUCUUUAGUAUCAGGUCAUCGUACAAUACAAAUACUUCCUGCAAUGAUUAGAAGUAAUGCAGAACAAGAAUUGAAUUUGGAAUCGCUGAGAAAAAGGAUUGGUGUACAAAAUAAGAAAGUAUAUAAAGGACAACAAACAUCUUCCAUAAGCGAUCAAAAUUGUAUAACUGAAAUUCAGGAAAUAGAUUGCUCCUCCACCUUUAGGUAUAAAAAAUAUUUUGACAUUUUUUUUAUUUAAUACACAAUUUAAUUUACCAUCUCAUCAUGAAGCUAUAAGUAAAUGGUGUGAAUGUUGAACACAUGAGGGAGAAGCUGCCAUGUGGCAACUCUCCUGUAUAAUAUAUUUUAUAUUAGUUCACAUAAAUAGUUAAUUUAUUAAGUCUGUUGGCCAUGGUUUCUUCAGUCACCUUUCAAAUCCAGGAGGGGUAUUUAGCAGUCUUGAUUCGUUACUUGGAUGAUCCGUUGUCCAUCAAGGAAGUUUCUUGUGAUUAUUCUAAUUUCUUCCUCUACCAAGGAUGUGGCAGAGUUAUCUUGUAUAGGGUUUUGUUCAAGUGUAAACACUUUUUUGCGCCAGUCCAGAGCUGUCUGCCAGCGCUGUCUUGAAUAGAAAGGUGGUCUAUUUUUCAUGCCACUGGCAUUCCAGUGAGACUGGCACCAGUUUCUGGAUACAUGUAAAUGUUACUUUAUUUUAUGUAAAUAUUAUUUUCAUUCUAGAAUCAAAGGGAGACUCUUUUAACAGGUAAAUGACGCUAUCAUUCUUUUUGUUCUAGAAAAACUGUAAAUAGUAUUUAAGGCAACUAUUGUGAAUGAGUGAGAAGUCUAAUAAAGCCACGAUGAGAUACUGUAUUAGAGCGUACGAUUUGGAGGUAUUUUUGAUUAGAUACAUUUUGUAAAGUACAAUAUAAAUUAGAUUUGAUAAUGUGUAGUAUUUCCUAAUAAAUUAAAUACUAUUAAGUGUUUAUUGUUCUUGUAAGUUAGUGUGGUAAAUAAAUAAUAUGAAGUAAG